GAAUAUUUUUAAUAAAUGGAAGAUAAAUAUUACCUAUUGUGCCACCACUUACGAUCUUACCUUUAUGAUUUUCUCCAAAUCCAAAAAAUUAUCCUACCUUGAAGGUUAAGUUUUGGAAAAUAAACUUUUCUUUUGUCAUGUGUUAUAUGCAUCCAUUGUACAGGUACCAUGAAUGGUGUUUCAUUUUGUUCUUGGACAUGCAUAUUAUCAUGACAUUUCUUUAACCAAUAGGAGCAAGUAGUUUCAGGUAUGUUAAAUUUUGAAGUUUCCUAUGGUUCUUCAAAUUCAAUACAUUUUCAGUUGUUUCUCCUAACACCAUAUAUCAUAGACAUUUUUUUUUGCAUCUAUUGUGCCAUUUUCAAGAAAAAUCUUGAAAGGCUUUUUCAUACUUUAGAAUUACAAGCAUUUUUCUUUAAAAACUUUGAAACAUUACCCUUCAGAGGUUAGUUUUCCCUUUUUAUAUUUUUGAAAUCUUUUCCAAGGGAUUCAUACUUAUCAAUUAAGAUGGAAUGAGCUUUUGUGAGAACAAAAUCUGAAAUAUGUACCUUUUGAAAUUGAAGAUUAACUUUAUUAUAAGUGUCAUUCACCAUAAUUUUCCCUUAUCAUUAUUUGUGGAAAAAGUACCAGGCUAAGAAUUUAAAGGGAUAAAAGGUAUAUGUUGCGCAUUCAACUAAACAUUGAAAGGCCCCCCGAUAGCAUAAUUCAAAUGGGCUUGCGUUGCAAUAUAUGCGUGACCCUAGAAUCCUUGAACUCUUUUUACAUUUAAGGUGAAAAAAUUAUAACAAAAAUUCGUUUUUAACUUCCAAAUCCUUGACAUGUUGAACCUCGUUUUGAAACAUGAGUUUAACUAUGUCAGAAAAUUGUUGGAGCCUUGAUACAUGAUAUCAUGGAUAUCCAUAUCAAUUUUUUUUCUUCUGAUGAAGAACAUGAUCAUGACCACUAGCUCCUUAAGGAGAUCCGUUAGAGGACCAUCUGUAUUGUUUGGAGAAGCCACAUUAGUUGACAUUCCAAGCCUCUGGGGUAGUUCAUUUGAACAUGUGAGAUUAGUUCCUUUUGAUGUUGAAGCGGGUAUCAAUGGUUUGAUUUGAGACUUAUACUUGAGCGCAAAUGCAUACGCCAAUUGUGGCUGCGAUAUGAGAACUAAACUUGGUAAUUCUGCAAGUUGUGUUGUCCCACUAGGCAUGCAAAUUUAGUUGUUGAACUAGAAAGUUAGUCGAGAAGAUCGACUUAUAACUAUCAAUAGUGGUUGUUUUUUCUUCAAGAUAUUAUGCCAAGAAAGGAACUUUGUUCCUUGCUACAAGUUCCUUAACUCUUCUAAAGAGUGUUAAGUGUGGCUAAGGUUGUUUUGUGAAAUAAAUGACUAAUGAAACAUAAAUGAUAAAAAGUAGAAAAGCUAAAAGACAAAAAUGCGAGUGAAAAACGUGUUUGAUUGAUUGAUUGUGUUGUGUUGUAUGGAAUGUUACAAGCUUAUUUUUAGACGAAAAUAAUAACAUAAAACCUCAUUACCCACUAUGUUCAACUAACAAAGAACAAAUUCUAGUUGUCGUGACAUGACUAGACUUUAGGAAAAUGUGGUUGACAUAAUCAAUAUUUUAGUGUACAUCGGAGUCCACGAUUUACGUUCACUAUAUGUUAUGUGGUUCUGACAGUUAUCCAUAAUAGUGCCCUUGUUUUUUCCAUUUAACCAUGCCUCCUAUAUUUUAGUUGUGUUUCUUAGGCCUAAUUAUAAAUAAGGAAAAUAAGCAAGAGGUCGAGUUAUCUUUGUUCAUAUGUUUUCUUGUAAUUUUAAAACUCCUAUAAUCCUUUUUAGGUCUACUUAGAACCAAAAGAAACUCGACUUCGUAACUUUCGGUUGUUACUAAUUUGGCUAAAUGCUUACUUGGUUGUAAAGGCAUUGGCUUAUCAUUUCCUCAACUGCAAAUUGUCUGGACUAACAACUUAUUUUAUUAUUUUGGUGUAAACACAUAAGGUAAUUUAUUGCAAAAAAAUUAUUUAAGUGAUAUUCUCUAAGUACAUAUCAUAUGACAACGGCAAGGACAUUUGAUAUGCUAAAAUGUGAGUUCAAACCUAAGAUAUCCCUCUUCUUCCAUAUUUAAUAUGUAUGGUUUGUACUACUUAAUACUUUAGAAAGAAAGAAAAAAGUGUUUUAGCGAGUCAAAUCUUUAUAUGCUUGAUAUAACAACGGUUUAUAUCAAGCAUAUAAGACAUCUAUUUGACUGAAUUAUAUAAUUUAGCACAAUCUCAAACUUUGAUUUAUUUAAUUAAUUGAACAAAUAAUCUUGAUCAAUAUUUAAUAAAUUGUAUUUGAUUAGUUCACAUAGUUCAUUUCAUUUAUUUCUUUUAGUCAUAGAAAAUAUUCAUUUUGUUUUUAAUCAACAAUUCAAUUCAUUUUUAACAUUAUUUAUAAUGACUGGUUUGACAUUUAAAUUUUUUAGAUAAAAUAUAAAUAAAUGUUAUAUUUAAAAAUAUGAUAUAUAUAUAUAUAUAACUUUAAAUUUCAAUAGAUACAUCAACUAUUCAAUAUUAAUCUUAUAUUUCAUUUCAUACAAAGUAUUUAUUACUACAUUCGUAUCUGUAUGUAAGACUCUUUUAUAAAUUUUUAUUAUUAUUUUUUAUAUGAUUUUUUGCAAAUUACAAGAUAUAUUAAUGAUUUUUUUUCACAAAAAUACUUCUAAUUAAAUAAAAUAGAUAAAAAGAUGAACUAUCUCUCUUAAAAAAUAAAAGAUAACUUUAUAAAAAUAAUAUACAUCAUUAAUAAAUUUAAAUAUAAAAAUAAUUUUUCUUAGUUUAUGUGUAUUGACUAAGAAAAUAUGUAGUAAUAGAGAAAGAGAAGAAAAUAGCUAUGCCAGUUGGUUGCUUUAUAAUAAUUAAUAUCCGAUAUGAAGUCGCUUUAUGCAAGCAAAGAUUAAGGAAAGGCAGUCCUCUACUUCAAAAUUAGUCUUUAGCACGUAACCUUUCUCGAUUCUAAAAUGCUUGACAUUUUGUUUUGCUGUUUGUCUUGAUUCUAAUUAAUUCAUUUUUGACAAAGUGAGAGAGGAGAACAAAAAGACGAAAUAAUGUAUCAAUUGAGAAGAGAGUCGAAUGAGACAGCGAUGAAGAAUAAACCAACAGCUUUGGUUUGCUUGAUGAAGCAAGAAAGGAAAACAAACAAACAAACUGUGUGCCGGGUCCAUUCUAUGUGCGAAAAGACAAGAAAAUAAAACAUUUGUAUUUCUCUUAGCACUUGUGUUAUUUAAACAUUAAAAUACAAAUAUAGUAUAUUCCAUCAAAUAUAUUUAUUUUUAACUUUGUAUGAUAUUUGUUAGGUUUAAUUAUAGUUUUAGUUUUUUCAUUUUCAUCAAUUCGUAGAUAUAGUUGUCUUAUUUUAAAAUUUGUUAAUUAAAAAAAUAAUAAUUUGAUAUAUUUUAAAUAAUUUAGUAAAUAAAAUUAUUUAUACGCAUUAAUUAUUUAUAAAUUAUUAAUUUAAUUAAAAAGUAAAUAAUUUUAAAAGUUGAAAAUAAUUUUUUUUGGAUAAUUUCAUUAUAACUUUAUAAAUAUAAAUUUUUUAAAAUUAUUGUAUUAUAUGUUAUAUUAUUUAAAAUAUGAUAUAUAAUGAGAUUUUAGUGAAAAACAGUCAAUAAAAAUAAUAGAAAUUUUUUACUUAUAAAAUAAAAAAAUUAAUUUUAUAAAUUAAUAAAAAUAAAAAGAAUAAAAGUAUGAUUAAAUCUGUUUUUUCCUUUAUACAUUCAUUUUAAAAAUACGCACAAAAAUCCAUAGACACCACCGCAUUGGACUUCAAAUUUUAAUUUGAAAUUUCUCUUUUUUAGAAAGACAGGCACACGAUACAACUUUGUUAUAAUACAAUAUGUCUUCUCUUUGUUGCAGGCUACUGGCUUUGUGGUUAACGUUGCAAUUUCUGCAUAAUGUUGAGAUUAAUAUUCCGUGACAGGGUGUGUCCAGGAAAUAUAUGAAGGUAGGUGUACGUGUCAAUAGAAUAUACUCCUUUGAUAUUGGGGUGUACGACGUGGUCCACCACCAACGGCUCCUGUGCCUGUCAUUAUAUUCUCAGUGACAGCUCUGUUAUCUUUGUUAGGGACUCUUCUGUGGUCUUGUUUCAUAGGAGUAUAAACUCUGAGUUUUACUAUUUUAAUUUUUGAAUACAAUUUUAUUGCAUACAAUAUUUCUUAAUAAUAUCAAUCAAUUAAAAAC
rnacentral:lncRNA from 1 species